GACGAACGCUGGCGGCGUGCCUAAUACAUGCAAGUCGAGCGAAUCAAUAGGAGCUUGCUCCUGUUGGUUAGCGGCGGACGGGUGAGUAACACGUGGGCAACCUGCCUGUAAGACUGGGAUAACACCGGGAAACCGGUGCUAAUACCGGAUAAUCCUUUUCCUCUCAUGAGGAAAAGCUGAAAUUCGGUUGCGGCUGACACUUACCGAUGGGCCCGCGGCGCAUUAGCUAGUUGGUGAGGUAAUGGCUCACCAAGGCGAUGACGGGUAGCUGGUCUGAGAGGACGACCAGCCACACGGGAACUGAGACACGGUCCCGACUCCUACGGGAGGCAGCAGUGGGGAAUUUUCCGCAAUGGGCGAAAGCCUGACGGAGUGACGCCGCGUGGGGGACGAAGGCCUUCGGGUCGUAAACCCCUGUCAGAGGGAAAGAAGGGUGUCGUCGCGAUAACCGCCGGCAUCUGACGGUACCUUCAGAGGAAGCCCCGGCCAACUCUGUGCCAGCAGCCGCGGUAAAAC
rnacentral:rRNA from 1 species